UAAGUUUUUACCUAGUUUUAUUUCCGCAGACCUUGUGUUCUAGACUUUUUGUAAUCCGGAUUUCUCUUUAUCUAUUCAGUAUUCAGCUUUGGUUCUUGAUUUUCGUUUAUUGUUGUUCAUUCUGUUAUCACACUACUGUUACACUGUUGUUAUCAUGUCUUCAACCUGUUCAACGUUUAUGCUUUCUGUUAUGAUGUCUGAGUAGUGAAUAGGUUUCUUAGGAUGGGUUAGAGUAGUGUAGAAUUCUCAGUAUGCUAGGUGAUUGAGUAUUGAUUGAUAGAUCCCUUCUGGAUUAGUUGUUCUUAAUGCAUAUUGCUUUCUGAUCAACUGGAAUUUGAGCCCAGACAUUUCCGCGCCCAAAAGGUGUUCGAUGAAAUGUCUGAACCACUAAUUCCAUAGAUUCGUGACCCUGUACCAAGGUAUUGGUUGCAGGGAGCGUUUUGGCUUUAACUUGUUGAUUCGUAAUGCUUGUUAGGUUAGCUCUCGUCAAUGGUGAUUGAGUCUGGGACUAGGUUAGCUUGAGAGUCUCUGUUGCGGUGGCACUUAGAUUUGGUUAAUGAACUUGUUGUCUAGGGUUAAUUUAUUGAGCAUGUCAAUCACCUGUAAACUGAGGAAACGAAACUACUCAAUUAUCCCAUCCUUAGGAAUUCUUUAUCUGAUUGAUUUUAUUGUUUACUCUACUACUGUUUACUGCAUCCUGUCAUCUGUUGCUUAGUUUCUGCAAUUCUUUACUGUUACUCGAUCUGAUACUCGACCACCCAGUUGUCUAGCAACAGACUGUGCAGUCGAGUAUCCCUGUUUCAUUUCCUGUCUGUUACUCGACCUGUCACUCGACCUCACCCAGAGCUCUGCAAAGAGCUGUGUUGGUCGAGUGUUUUACUGUUUCUGUUUGAUUUUCUGUUUUCUGCAUGUUCACUUAGGACUGCUGGAACACACCAAAACCUGUUAUGCUUGGCUUGACUUAGUGACUUCUGAUCACAUCUUGAUUGUUAGCAUCACACCCAUUUGGAUUGACAACCUAAAAUACUACAAUGACAAGAUUGGUGUUUUAGGAUAAUUGACUAAAAACCUAUUAUCAAUUUGGCGCCGUUGCCAAUUGGGUGUUUGUUUGUUACAUUUAAGAUUUCAGACUUGCUUAGAUCAAGUUCUUUUUCAAUUUUCUUUUUAGUUACUAACUGUGUUUUUCUUGUUGUCUUCUUGAUCCAGGUACACCUCUGCUGUAUGCGAACUCGAUCAACAGGCAACCAGAACCUCCUUUUCAACGACAACAUCAACCGCACAGCCCGCAAAAUCAGAAAAAGGAGAACCACAGUCAACACUGUACCUCAGCAACCACUAGUUAUGGCUGAAGAACAGAAUCAACAAAAUGGCCUUACCAACAUUGGUGCUGGAGAUGCACCACGUGAUCACCGUCAGAGGAAGGGAAUCGCACCUCCUGCUAUCCAGAAUAACAACUUCGAGAUUAAUAGUGGUCUCAUCUCGAUGAUUCAGGGGAACAAAUUCCAUGGUUUGCCAAUGGAAGAUCCACUCGACUACCUUGAUGAAUUCGAUAGGCGCUGCAACCUAACGAAUAUCAAUGGUGUUAGUGAAGACGGAUUCAAGCUCCGUUUGUUCCCAUUCUCCUUGGGCGACAAAGCACAUAUCUGGGAGAAGAAUCUGCCCCAUGACUCAAUCACCACCUGGGAUGAUUGUAAGAAGGCUUUUCUGUCAAAGUUCUUCUCCAAUGCUAGAACUGCAAGACUCAGAAAUGAGAUUUCUGGUUUCUCACAGAAGACUGGUGAAAGCUUCUGUGAAGCAUGGGAGCGUUUCAAGGGUUACACCAACCAAUGCCCUCAUCAUGGCUUUACUAAAGCCUCUCUUCUCAGCACUCUUUACAGAGGAGUCCUACCACGCAUCAGAAUGCUUCUGGAUACCGCCAGCAAUGGGAAUUUCCAGAACAAGGAUGUUGAAGAAGGCUGGGAAUUGGUUGAGAACUUGGCUCAAUCAGAUGGCAAUUACAACGAGGACUGUGAUAGGACCGUCAGAGGAACAGCUGACUCUGAUGACAAACACAGGAAGGAGAUCAAAGCGCUGAAUAACAAGCUGGACAGAAUUCUUCUUAGCCAUCAUAAGCAUGUACUCUUCCUUGUUGAUGACGAGCAGUAUGAAGUCCAAGAUGGGGAGGGUAACCAGUUGGAAGAAAUAAGCUACAUCAACAACAACCAGGGUGGCUACAAAGGAUACAACAACUUCAAAACCAACAAUCCCAACCUCUCCUACCGCAGCACCAACGUUGCUAAUCCUCAGGAUCAGGUGUACCCUCCACAGCAACAACAAGGCCAGAACAAACAUUUUGUUCCCUACAACCAAGGUUUCAUUCCUAAGCAGCAAUUCCAGGGGAACUACCAGCAACCACCACCACCUGGGUUUGCACCUCAGCAAAACCAAGGUCCUGCUGCUCGUGAUGCUGAAAUGAAACAGAUGGUCCAGCAGCUGCUACAGGGACAAGCAUCUAGCUCAAUGGAAAUGGCUAAGAAAUUAUCUGAAUUGCACCAUAAGCUGGACUGCAGCUACAAUGACCUGAAUGCCAAAGUGGAGGCAUUGAAUACCAAAGUCAGAUACUUGGAAGGCCAAUCAGCAUCUACCUCUGCACCAAAAGUUACAGGACUUCCAGGGAAGUCCAUAUAGAAUCCAAAAGAGUAUGCAACCGCUCACGCCAUCACCAUCUGCCAGGAUCGAGAACUGUCAACGCGACCUAACCCUGAUUUCAUCACUGAGGACAGUGAUGUUCAAGAAGGGGAGGCUUCUACUCAGGUUGAAGUCUCUGUUGUUGAAUUCAACCAUUCCGCUGGUUCUCGCCAUCUCACUCAAUCCAUCUCGGAAGAGAAGGGCCGCCAUAAUCGAGAGAAUGGUAAAACGAUUCAAACCUACUUCACUACCCUCACGUGCUCUUCCGUGGAUAUUCAGGAAAGCAUGGAUGGAGAGAUACAAGUCUAUUGCAGCGAAGCAGUUGGACGAGAUUGAAGCAGUGAUGCCACUAAUGGAAGUUCUUAACCUGAUUCCUGAUCCUCACAAAGAUGUGAGAAAUUUGAUACUGGAAAGGAUCAAGAUGUAUCACGAUUCGGAUGAUGAAAGUGAUGCCACUCCAUCUCGAGCUGCUGAUAAGAGGAUUGUUCAAGAGAAGUUAGAAGAUCCUGGAUCUUUCACUCUACCAUGUUCCAUUGGGGAAUUUGCUUUCAGCGAUUGUCUGUGCGAUCUCGGAGCCUCUGUUAGCUUGAUGCCACUCUCUGUGGCAAAAAGAUUAGAGUUCAUUCAAUAUAAAUCUUGUGACCUGACUUUGAUCCUUGCGGAUAGGUCUUCUAGAAAACCGUUCGGCAUGCUGAAAGACCUACCAGUCAUGAUUAAUGGCGUAGAAGUGCCUACAGACUUCGUGGUGCUGGAUAUGGAAGUAGAGCAUAAGGAUCCCUUAAUACUGGGAAGACCCUUUUUAGCGUCAGUGGGAGCAGUGAUAGAUGUCAGGGAAGGGAAAAUAAGUCUCAACCUUGGAAAGCAUAUCAAGUUGCAGUUUGACAUCAACAAAACUCCACAAGGGUCAACCGAAGAUGGAAGAACCUCAGGAAAUGAUAGAGCGAUCUCAGGAGAAGGAUAUGAGACUGAAAGAGUGAAAGAACUUAGAAAGAAGUCUGAUAAGCAGAAUGAAACUAUAGAGAAGCUGGCCCACACCAUUGAGGAACUUAGGAGUAAGCUGAAUCAGAUGCAGAAGGAAGCUCAACCUAAAGGCGGGAUUAACACUAUCCCGAGAAAAGAAUUCACUUCAAGAUGGUCUCAAGAUACAGAUUAUCCUCCAGAAGAGAAGGAAGCCUAUUUUGAAGAAAGGGGGAUUGAGUAUUUUGCUGCAGACCUCUCCAGGGAGGACGCUGAAUAUGAUGAUGGUAUCAGAGAGGAUUAUGCUGACCCUCUCUACAGUUCAUUUUCUUCUUGAUAAGUGUGAGGAGUCAAGCUAGAGACUUAAAACAAGCUCACUUGGGAGGAAGUCCCAUGACUAUCCUUGUAAAUAAUUUUUACCUUCUUGAUAUUUUUGAUUUGUUUUAGUUGUGUUUGUGGUUUUCAGAGACAAGAGAACAACGCGGAGAUAGAGUAAAAAUUCAAAACUUUUACUCUAUAGAAGACCUGGAGAUCGAGUGUACAGCCCGUUGGAGUACAAAAUUUUGAAAAUCUUCUGUUGCACCUGGAGACUUUGCACUCGAGUACAUUGGUCGAGUAUGUGUGAUGUUUAAAACCCAAAAAAAUUUUAAAUCAUCAUUUUACUCGACCAACAGAAGCUACAGAGACUUGCAGAAAUUUCCUACAGUUUAGAGUAGGUUUUCUGCAAAAUUUUCUCAAUCAACAGUGUGUGGACCACGCGCUGAGGAUAAGCUGGAGAGAGAAUCUAAAAUUCAACCUAGACCACUCAUUUUGAAGCGCUACUCGACCACUCCAAAUCCACUCGACCUUCCUCUUUUCAUUUCACCGCCGACACUCUAAUCUCCCUACUCCACAAAUCGCCGUCCAAACAGCUACUCGACCUCUGAUAAUUUCACUCGACCACCUUGCCGCCGUCACUAGCUCAUUCCCUCCGUCACCCGACCAAACCACUUCACACGAUUCCUUCUGUAUACUCGACCAAUUCAUCCACAUUAACCGCCGUCUCUUUCAUAAAAAAUCGCUCGACCUCGCUUCCCGGUCUCGUAGAGGCACUCGACUGAUGCCGUCCUAGCCGACUUCAAGAACUCACUCGACCUCGUGAAAGCACUCGACCCCUGCAAAAUUCUACUCGGCUUCUUGUUCGUGAAUUCAGUAGAGCCUUCCAACUUCAGAGAAGCUACUCGACUACUAGCUUUCACGAUUCACUCUAUCUCCACGAUUCACUCGACCGGCUGUAGCAUUCCAACUCGACCUCUGAGAAGAUACUCGAUUCAAUUCAUCUAAGCUCAGGAACAGCUCAGGUUACUCGAGUACAGAAUUGUACUCGACCAAUUCAAUCUGUUUCAUUGCCUAUUGACAAUAAUUUUGGUUUCAUUGCUAUCUUUGAGACUAACCUAUUGACAUUUGAGCCUUGAGUUCUAAAUCCCUACAGGAGAAUCAUGAGCAAUUACAGUGGCAGUUCUUCCGUUGAUCCUGACUACAACAUGGAUGAGACAGAAUCGUCAUCUUCAAGGCCAGAGAGAGAACAGAGAGAAUACGAAAGUUUCAGAAGGAAAGCUGAGAUAGCCCGAGGAAAGAGAGCGAUGACAGAGAGGUAUGAGCUUAUAGACGAAGAUCUGGAAGACGAGUACAUGCCUGAACAGACUCGCAGAGCUACCAAACUUCUGCACAAGCCCGACAUAUUGCCUGCUGAGGAAUAUGUUAGGCUUUUCAAGCUGAAUGAGUUCUGUAGCACGAGGUAUCCUUGCUCGACCUCACUUGCACAACUCGAAUUGUUGGAAGAUGUUCAGCACCUGUACCAAAGUUGUCAUCUGGACACUCUGAUGGCUUAUCCGUAUGUAGCAUAUGAAGAUGAGACAAUACAAUUCCUCUCCACACUGCAAGUAGAGCUCUACCAAGGUAUGACCUCUGAUGAGUAUGAUUGUGAAGGAUUGGGAUUCUUGCGAUUUUCUGUGAAUGGUCAUGAGUAUAGGUUAUCAAUCAAGCGAUUGGAAGGAUUGUUUGGCUUCCCCAGUGGAACGGGAUCUAAGCCAAAGUAUGAAAGAGAAGAGCUGAAAGACUUGUGGAUCACCAUUGGCAGCUCUGUAGCAAUCAGAUACGCAGCCCUGUCAUCAGGUACUUCCAGCGUUCUGUAGCCAACGUACUCUACUCCCGAGAGAUUACAGGGACUGUCACUAACUCUGAUAUGGAGAUGAUCGCAAUGGCCCUCAAGGGAACUCUUCGCCAAACUAAGAAUGGUAUGCCCCUCCAGGGUGAAAUCAAUGACACACCCCUAGCUGUACUUCUUCUGAUCCAUUUGUGUGGAUACAAGAGUUGGGCUGUCACCAAUAACCGCAAGAGAGCACGAGGCGCUCUGUGCAUAGGUGGCGUUGUGACACCGAUUCUGAUAGCUUGUGGAGUCCCACUCAUUUCUGCUGGACUCGAGCCGCGAGCAAUGGAUAUCGAGCACCUACGUCACUGCGAAUUCCUGGAGUUUGCAAUGGUUGACGAUCUCCACAGGUUCAGGUUUGAGCACUCUAUAGACAGGAGAGCUAACAUCCUUCUCCCUAGCCCUGAGGUCACACGGAUAAUAGAGGGAGAUAACAUUGAUUUUAGGCCUGAGAUUGGACGCCUCUACUAUGAGAACGUUCCGCCAUUGGAUGAGGAUGAUCUUCUUGAAGAAGCUGCCUCGAAUGGGAUGGAUGAAGAUAGGGGAGUGAAGUUCGACACUAGCAUGUAUCACUUUGCUGAACAUGUACCUCCAGCGAGGCAGAGCAAGAGCUUGACUGAAGCUCAUAAGAAUAACAGUAAAUUGCAGAAGUGGUGCAAGAAGCAGGACAAGCUGAUCGCCAAGUGUUUCAAGCUUUUGACAGAUAAGCUGAGUUGCUCUUCCUCCACCACUGCUAUUCCACAGGUACAGUGUCCUAUGGAGAUGCCAUCGAGGAGAAUUAAUGCACCUGCGCACAGGCCUGAGCUUAGCGAGCAGAGAGUCCCACAUGUCCAGGCUAGGCAUUCGUCAUUCGAAUCCCGGGAACACAAGAGAAGAAGGAAGGCUACACUCACUCGAUCUAGCAGCAGAUCACGCCUCAUUCACUCGAGGAGAUCACUCGACCGCGGUACUGGCCGCAGCAGAAGGAGAGAGGUCGAGUUUCCUCAGAGCGGUGCUGGCCGCCACAGAGCUGAUGAGGUCGAGUACCCAUCUGCUGGAGCUGAUACAGAACAAGGAGGUUCGUCUAUGGCCUGGGAGCAAUCACAGGCAGCCAUUGACAAGCAACUACGUUCAUUCUUCGACUGAGGUAAGUGCCUCACUUCACCAUUGUAUUAUACCGCCUCUCUUCCAAGUUUAUUCACACAGUGGACUGUGUGAUUUAAGUUUGGGGGAGGGCUCAGGAAGUGUGUGUUGCAUUGUGUAUAUUUUUUAGUGUUGCAUUGAAAAUUUUCAGAAAAUGAUUUCACAAAAAAAAAGAGUGUUCAUGUAGUUGCAUCACAUUUAGGAUCGAGUCUAGAGUGUUUCAUUUAGGAUUGUUGCAUAUGCAUAGGGGAUGAUGAUGAGAUAGCCUUGUAAGCAUUUUGAUUCACCGGAUAAACUCAGUGCCCUCGUUGCUAGUUGUCUGUUGCAUAGUCAAUGAAUUUGAAAAAAA
rnacentral:sRNA from 1 species